rnacentral:rRNA from 1 species
AGAGUUUGAUCCUGGCUCAGAAUCAACGCUGGCGGCGUGCCUAACACAUGCAAGUCGAACGAGAAAGUGGAGCAAUCCAUGAGUAAAGUGGCGCACGGGUGAGUAACACGUGACUAACCUACCCUUGAGUGGGGAAUAACUUCGGGAAACCGAGGCUAGUACCGCAUAACACCUACGGGUCAAAGGAGCAAUUCGCUUAAGGAGGGGGUCGCGGCAGAUUAGUUAGUUGGCGGGGUAAUGGCCCACCAAGACGGUGAUCUGUAUCCGGCCUGAGAGGGCGCACGGACACACUGGAACUGAAACACGGUCCAGACUCCUACGGGAGGCAGCAGUGGGGAAUUUUGCGCAAUGGGGGAAACCCUGACGCAGCAACGCCGCGUGGAGGAUGAAGUCCCUUGGGACGUAAACUCCUUUCGAUCGGGACGAUUAUGACGGUACCGGAAGAAGAAGCCCCGGCUAACUUCGUGCCAGCAGCCGCGGUAAUACGAGGGGGGCGAGCGUUGUUCGGAAUUAUUGGGCGUAAAGGGCGCGUAGGCGGUUGGAUAAGUCUUGUGUGAAAUCUUCGGGCUCAACUCGAAGUCUGCACGAGAAACUAUCUGGCUUGGGUGUGGGAGAGGUGAGUGGAAUUCCUGGUGUAGCGGUGAAAUGCGUAGAUAUCAGGAGGAACACCUGUGGCGAAAGCGGCUCACUGGACCACAACUGACGCUGAGGCGCGAAAGCUAGGGGACCAAACAGGAUUAGAUACCCCAGUAGUCC